rnacentral:lncRNA from 1 species
AUAUACUUCCACCUCCUCCUCCUCCUCUUACCGGCCCUCCAGAUGAUCUGGCACCACUAAUGGACAAUCCGUAAGCACAUGCAACAUUGACAUCAAUUGAUCUUUUUGUUGGGAUCUUUUUUCUAGUAAGAUUGCUGCUUUCAUGCUCAGAUUCUGUGCGUUUGUCUGUGUUCAGGUGGGAAGGCUCAGGAGUCCAACUAACACCAGAGAUUAUCAGAGCAGAGUUCUUGUCUGGGGAAGCUCUGGUCUCCAAUAGCAACCUCACCAGAGCAAUGACAGUCUGCAGGCACCAGAGGGAGCUUCAGAUGGAGGCGACCUACAGGUCUGAGUUCAACCAGAUGGGGAAAAGAGUGAUGACCAGGCUGAAGCAACUUGGAGUCACUGACAGUACUUCACCAGGAGAGGACUGUGGAUAGGCAAAACGCCCCCACACACUUCCAGAAACACCUUCCAAAUAGGCUGUGUGCACACAUAUAUAUACACACACUCCCACAUGAAUAAACGCAACCGCAGAACUACGAAAAACAUGCCCAUCCUACUCACCUAUACGAGACUCUAGAUUGUGUGCCCUGCUACUUCUGUAAUAUAAUACCUGGUAACUUUCUCGCCCACGUAUAAGCCUCCCUCCCACCUACUCAAAUUUACCAGUAAGCUCUCCUGUGUUCUUACAAAGGCUGGAAAUUCGUUUUCCUUCAGCCCACACAGCUCCAUAUAUAAGCACAGAAAAAGUAUUUUCUUACGAGCUACAUCACAUUACUGACAACUACAUUCAGUUAAAAAUGAUAAUUCUGCAUUUCUAUGCUGUAGUUUGUGGUGUCUUAGAAGCAAAGUGGGACUGUGAUGUCAGUGAGCAACACAACGCUUAUCACUAUUAAACUGUAUGAUACUGCAAACAACAGUGUAAUACUUGGUCUUUUACAGUUAAAUAUGAUUGACCUUUUUAAUUUAAAUGUCUUUGCAUUAAAAAGGUCAUUCACAUGCCAUCCAUUGCUUUGAGGCUUGAUUGUGGUUUUGGAUGAGAUUUCCAAAGUUUGAAAUGCUAAUUGGUGUCAUCAAAAGUAACACUAGGUUUUAAUAUGUAUUUGUUUUCAGCUUCUAAUUUGUGUAACCUCUCACAGAUUUGUUGCCAUUA